ensembl:snRNA U6 U6 spliceosomal RNA
GCUCACUUUAGCAUCAACAUGCACUGAAAUUGGAAGGAUACAGAGAAGGUUGGCAUGGCCCAUGCUCAAGGAUGGCAUGCAAAUCGUGAAGCAUUUUAUACUUUC